rnacentral:rRNA from 1 species
AUUGAACGCUGGCGGUAUGCUUAACACAUGCAAGUCGAACGGUAGCAGGCCUUCGGGCGCUGACGAGUGGCGGACGGGUGAGUAACGCGUAGGAAUCUGCCUCAUAGUGGGGGACAACGUGUGGAAACGCACGCUAAUACCGCAUACGCCCUACGGGGGAAAGCGGGGGACCUUCGGGCCUCGCGCUAUGAGAUGAGCCUGCGUUAGAUUAGCUAGUUGGUAGGGUAAAGGCCUACCAAGGCGACGAUCUAUAGCUGGUCUGAGAGGACGAUCAGCCACACAGGGACUGAGACACGGCCCAGACUCCUACGGGGGGCAGCAGUGGGGAAUAUUGGACAAUGGGCGCAAGCCUGAUCCAGCAAUACCGCGUGUGUGAAGAAGGCCCUAGGGUUGUAAAGCACUUUCAAUAGGGAGGAAAACCUGUCGGUCAAUACCCGGCAGCUUGACAUUACCUAUACAAGAAGCACCGGCUAACUCCGUGCCAGCAGCCGCAGUAACAC